rnacentral:rRNA from 1 species
UACGAAGGGGGCUAGCGUUGCUCGGAAUCACUGGGCGUAAAGGGCGCGUAGGCGGCUCACGCAAGCGUGCGGUGAAAGCCCGGGGCUCAACCCCGGGUCGGCCGUGCGGACUGCGGAGCUGGAGCACUGUAGGGGCAGAUGGAAUUCCGGGUGUAGCGGUGGAAUGCGUAGAGAUCCGGAAGAACACCGGUGGCGAAGGCGGUCUGCUGGGCAGUGGCUGACGCUGAGGCGCGAC